UAGGGAAUAUUGCGCAAUGGAGGAAACUCUGACGCAGCGACGCCGCGUGGGUGAUGAAGGCCUUCGGGUCGUAAAGCCCUGUCGGAAGGGACGAAAAAUAUUACAGCUAAUAUCUGUAGUACUUGACGGUACCUUCAAAGGAAGCACCGGCUAACUACGUGCCAGCAGCCGCGGUAAUACGUAGGGUGCUAGCGUUGUUCGGAAUUAUUGGGCGUAAAGCGCGUGUAGGCGGUUAGUUAAGUCGAGUGUGAAAUCCCUGGGCUCAACCGAGGAAGUGCAUUCGAAACUAGCUAGCUAGAGAGUGGUAGAGGAAGGUGGAAUUCCUAGUGUAGAGGUGAAAUUCGUAGAUAUUAGGAGGAAUACCGGUGGCGAAGGCGGCCUUCUGGACCAUUUCUGACGCUGAGACGCGAAAGCGUGGGGAGCAAACAGG
rnacentral:rRNA from 1 species